UACAGAGGGUGCAAGCGUUUGUUCGGAAUUAUUGGGCGUAAAGCGCGUGUAGGCGGCUUUGCAAGUCGGGUGUGAAAGCCCUCAGCUUAACUGAGGAAGUGCGCCCGAAACUGCUUGGCUUGAGUACCGGAGAGGAUGGCGGAAUUCCCCAAGUAGAGGUGAAAUUCGUAGAUAUGGGGAGGAACACCGGUGGCGAAGGCGGCCAUCUGGACGGAUACUGACGCUGAGACGCGAAAGCGUGGGUAGCAAACAGG
rnacentral:rRNA from 1 species